UUUCCGUAGGUGAACCUGCGGAAGGAUCAUUCAUAAUAAGUGUUUUAUGACACUUUUUACAUCCAUAUCCACCUUGUGUGCAAUGUCAGGGUUGAUUUUUCUCUCGAGAGGAUCAGCCCCAAACAUCAACUAUAUCUCAACUCUUUGUCUGAAAAAUAUUAUGAAUAAAACAAGUCAAAAUACAACUUUCAACAACGGAUCUCUUGGCUCUC
rnacentral:misc_RNA from 1 species